UACGUAGGUGGCAAGCGUUAUCCGGAAUUAUUGGGCGUAAAGCGCGCGCAGGUGGUUUCUUAAGUCUGAUGUGAAAGCCCACGGCUCAACCGUGGAGGGUCAUUGGAAACUGGGAGACUUGAGUGCAGAAGAGGAAAGUGGAAUUCCAUGUGUAGCGGUGAAAUGCGUAGAUAUAUGGAGGAACACCGGUGGCGAAAGCGGCUCUCUGGACUGUAACUGACACUGAGGCUCGAAAGCGUGGGUAGCAAACAGG
rnacentral:rRNA from 1 species